rnacentral:piRNA from 1 species
UCCCAGCAUCAGACGGAGGUGGUCCACGGU